UGUAUUCUGUAUUGGCAACAGUACAUUUUUGCGUUGCUCACGUUGAAUUUAUUGCGAGUACUUCUCUGUGCAGUUUGUCCUUUUGUUUGUAGUGGUCUACUUGAAUAUAACUCGACUGUGGUAUUGAGUCUGAUGUCUCUGUAAACAUUAUAUGAUUGUAAAUACUUACGCUGUUUUUAUUAUGAGUAAAUGAAUUAUUUAAGUGA